rnacentral:rRNA from 1 species
AAGAUUUAUUGAUUGGAGAUGGGUAUGCGUAGGAUUAGCUAGUUGGUAAGGUAACGGCUUACCAAGGCGACGAUCCUUAGGGGUUCUGAGAGGAAGGUCCCCCACACUGGUACUGAGACACGGACCAGACUCCUACGGGAGGCAGCAGUGAGGAAUAUUGGUCAAUGGUCGAGAGACUGAACCAGCCAAGUCGCGUGAAGGAAGACGGCUCUAUGAGUUGUAAACUUCUUUUGUACCAGGAGUAAAGUGAGACACGUGUGUUUUAUUGCAAGUACUGUAACGAAUAAGCAUCGGCUAACUCC